UGAUGCGUCAGGACACACAGCGUGCGUGACUGCUGGAUUUACACGCAAUGCCGUAAGCAGUAUGACACCACACCCUUCUCU